GCUUCUGGAAUCACAGCAGAUAAAAACAUCACACAAACCUUUCCUUCAUGACCCAAACAAACCACAUUUACAUCUCCGAUGCAGCGCGCCUUCCGGUUUGACCCCCUCAGCUACCGUAGAAACGUCACAGGUCAAAGGUGAACACAGAAGAAACAUGGAGCUGGUGGAGAGCAGGAGGAGGAGAGGAGGCUCCACUAAAACCUCCAGGAAAGGUGGGAAACCCCAUCCAGCUCUGACGGCUGAAGAAGAGGCUCGAAGGAGGGAGGUGGUGCGGGAGAGGCUGGAGCUGGAGAGAAGAGCCGUGAAGGUGGUGGAGCGCCUCCUUGAGAGCAACGUGUCAGAGGACGUCCUGGUUGACUGUGCCAGGCUCAUCACCGCAGCUAACUACAGAGAUGCUGUGGAGGAGAGGUUCCUGGCUAAGCUGUGUGGUUAUCCUCUUUGUUCAACAAAACUGGGCAAGAUCCCCACACAGCGGUACAAAAUAUCCACUCAGUCAAACCGAGUUUAUGACAUCACAGAACGGAAGUGUUUUUGUAGCAACUUCUGCUACAAGGCGUCUAAAGAGUUUGAGCUUCAGAUAUCGACGACUCCUCUUUGGCUCCGGCAUCAUGAGAGUCCUCCAGAAGUCACGCUGCUAAAGCCAGGAGACCGUGGGCGCUAUGGUGAGGAGGUGAUGCUGUUGGAGAGGAGCCUCAGAGAAGACGACAUCGAGAACCCACAAGCUUCUCCUCUUGAGGACCGUCCCGGCUCCCAGCAGAUACCUUCAGGAGGUGAUCACGGCGACGGCAGUGAGCAGGAGUUUGUCUCCAGUGUGCUCUCCCAGCAGCAGAGACCCAGGGUGCACUGGGGUGACCCCCCUAAGCCCUCAGAUGAAGGAGAGCUAAGGAGGAAGCUGAGGAGAGGACUUCAAAGUGAACGUUCCAGGGAAACGGGAAACUCAAAAGAGGAAGAAGAACCAGAAGAAGAGGAUGAAAGAAAAGAGCCAGCUGCUGAAGAACUAGACACUUCAGAUUCUGGUUCGUCUCUUUGUGAGGAUCAACAUUUACCCGAGGACCGAGGUGUGAAAGAGGCCAGAGGCAGGGUGAAAGGGUGUAGUUUAUCAGAGAUGGUCGCUUCCACCAGCUCUCUGUCAGAACACACACCUUCACACACCUCUCCUCCUCCUCCUCCUCCUACAGGAACAGAAACCCCAGCAGAAACCAAACAUGGCCACCACAAUGCAGCUUCAUCAAACCAACCGGGUCUCAGCAUCACCCAGGUGGGCGUGAGCAGGAGAGGAGCGGUCGGGCUGAGAGAUCUGCUGAAGAACCACACCGGAGAACCUGACUCUGUUCCACUGAGUCUUCUCAAGUAUCUGAAGAGAACGCUGAAGGAGUGGUGCACCGAGGAGACGCUCAAGUUCCUGUACGGUGCUGGUCAUUCACUGGUCUCCACUUCCUCUAGUGAAGAGGUAGAACAGGAGGAGUUAGAUGAAGAUGAUCUUGAGGAUGAGGACGACGUGAUGGCGGCUGAACAGAAGAGGCCCUCGGCUCCUGUACCCGACUGUAAGACUCUCCAGAAGGAGACUGAGCAGCUGGAGUUCAGAGUUCGAGAGUUUUACAGAGGGAGGUGGAUUCAUCUGGAGAAGGAAGAGGAGGAGAACAGGAACGAGCAGGUGGAAGUUCUGGACCGGACCAGGAAGGAUCCAGUUCUGCCGCUGAUCGACUUCAACGCUCAGAACCUCAUUCAGACAAAGAUCACCGUGGAGAAGCUCAGCAGCUGCCUCAGAGACAUCGUGGGUACACUCGGCCUCUCCAUGAGCGACGUCUGCACCGAGUUGAACAACCUGGUCAGAACAUUCAGAGUAUUUCCUUUGGCUAGCUGGCGUGUUUUCAGCAAGUGCGCUAUUAAAUCACUGCUAGCACGGCAGCGUAGCACCUUCCUGCUUCCAGGAAUUCUGUGUUUGGAGGCCUCGCUGACGGGACUGAGCCCAGAGCUGUCAGAGAGACAUCCAUCACCGCUGUGGCCCCACCUCAACACAUCUGUGUUAUUAUGUUGAUGUUGACCAACACCAACAUCAUCCACAGAACUCCAGAGUGGACCCUCCUGUCAGUGGUUCUUCUUCAUCUGUUGUCGGAGGUGUCUCCGGUGGUGCUGGAGGCCUUGGAGACGUCAGCUUCUGUGGAGUACUUGAACACACUGAUGGAGGGGCUCAACCUCCAGAGACGGGACCUCCUGAGUUUAGUCCAGAUGUUCAGACCUCCAUCUCACAUGUUGACGUGCACGUCUCCCCCAUGAAGAUCUGGGAGGAACGCUCGUCUUUCUGAUUUACACAAUAAAAUUAUACAAAAUAAA